rnacentral:tRNA from 1 species
GCCUGGGUGGCUUGGUUGGUUAAGCAUCUGCCUUCCACUCAGGUCAUGAUCCCAGGGUCCUGGGAUUGAGCCCCACCUCAGGCU